UACGGGGGGGGCAAGCGUUGUUCGGAAUUACUGGGCGUAAAGGGCUCGUAGGCGGCCAACUAAGUCAGACGUGAAAUCCCCAGGCUCAACCUGGGAACUGCGUCCGAUACUGGAUGGCUUGAAUCCGGGAGAGGGAUGCAGAAUUCCAGGUGUAGCGGUGAAAUGCGUAGAUAUCUGGAGGAACACCGGUGGCGAAGGCGGCAUCCUGGACCAAUAUUGACGCUGAGGAGCGAAAGCUAGGGGAGCAAACGGG
rnacentral:rRNA from 1 species